GGGGAAUUUUGGACAAUGGGCGCAAGCCUGAUCCAGCAAUGCCGCGUGAGUGAAGAAGGCCUUCGGGUUGUAAAGCUCUUUCAGUCGAGAAGAAAAAGUUGUGACUAAUAAUCAUAACUCAUGACGGUAUCGACAGAAGAAGCACCGGCUAACUACGUGCCAGCAGCCGCGGUAAUACGUAGGGUGCGAGCGUUAAUCGGAAUUACUGGGCGUAAAGGGUGCGCAGGCGGUUCUGUAAGUCAGAUGUGAAAUCCCCGGGCUUAACCUGGGAACUGCGUUUGAAACUACAGGACUAGAGUGUGGCAGAGGGGGGUGGAAUUCCAUGUGUAGCAGUGAAAUGCGUAGAGAUAUGGAAGAACAUCGAUGGCGAAGGCAGCCCCCUGGGUUAACACUGACGCUCAUGCACGAAAGCGUGGGGAGCAAAC
rnacentral:rRNA from 1 species